UACGAGGGGGGCGAGCGUUGUUCGGAAUUAUUGGGCGUAAAGGGUGCGUAGGCGGUUUGGUAAGUCUUAUGUGAAAUCUACAGGCUCAACUUGUAGUCUGCAUGAGAAACUGCCGGGCUUGAGUAUGGGAGAGGUGAGUGGAAUUCCUGGUGUAGCGGUGAAAUGCGUAGAUAUCGGGAGGAACACCAGAGGCGAAGGCGGCUAGCUGGACAGUCACUGACACUCAACUACGAAAGCGUGGGGAGCAAACAGG
rnacentral:rRNA from 1 species